AUGAACGCUGGCGGCGUGCUUAACACCUGCAAGUCGAACGGAAAGGCCCAAGCUUGCUUGGGUACUCGAGUGGCGAACGGGUGAGUAACACGUGGGUGAUCUGCCCUGCACUUCGGGAUAAGCCUGGGAAACUGGGUCUAAUACCGGAUAGGACCACAUUUUGGAUGGUGUGGUGGAAAGUUUUUCGGUGUGGGAUGAGCUCGCGGCCUAUCAGCUUGUUGGUGGGGUAAUGGCCUACCAAGGCGUCGACGGGUAGCCGGCCUGAGAGGGUGUACGGCCACAUUGGGACUGAGAUACGGCCCAGACUCCUACGGGAGGCAGCAGUGGGGAAUAUUGCACAAUGGGCGCAAGCCUGAUGCAGCGACGCCGCGUGGGGGAUGACGGCCUUCGGGUUGUAAACUCCUUUCGCUAGGGACGAAGCGUUUUUGUGACGGUACCUGGAGAAGAAGCACCGGCUAACUACGUG
rnacentral:rRNA from 1 species